rnacentral:rRNA from 1 species
AUUGAACGCUGGCGGCAGGCCUAACACAUGCAAGUCGAGCGAGCGGCGGACGGGUGAGUAAUGUCUGGGGACUGCCCGAUAGAGGGGGAUAACUACUGGAAACGGUGGCUAAUACCGCAUACUAUCGGAUAACCCAUAGUGGAUUAGCUAGUAGGGGGGGUAAAGGCUCACCUGGGCGACGAUCUCUAGCUGGUCUGAUAGGAUGAUAAGCCACACGGGGGUUGAGACACGGCCCAGACUCAGACGGAGGCAGCAGUGUGGAAUAUUGCACAAUGGGCGCAAGCCUGAUGCAGCCAUGCCGCGUGUAUGAAGAAGGCCUUAGGGUUGUAAAGUACUUUCAGCGGGGAGGCGUUACCCGCAGAAGAAGCACCGGCUAACUCCGUGCCAGCAGCCGCGGUAAUUC